rnacentral:rRNA from 1 species
AUGUGACUGCAGGACACAUGAACACCGACACGUUGAACGCAUAUUGCACAUCGUACCUCCAGUACGAUGUACACAUUUUUGAGUGCCUAUAUUUAUACAUUCAACUAUACGUGUGCCUCCCUCUCGGGGGUGUGCGCGCACGUAUGCAUAGUGAUGUUUUCCCGCCUUCGGUGCGCGGUAAAACAUUCAAGAUAGUCAGACGCGACGGUGGCCGGCGUGCCAGUCGUCGUCGUGGUUGAUGAGUACAUCCCAAACCAGAGUCAAUCAGUGGCAGUGAGCCUAGUACCCCCGUGUGUGAGUUGUGCGGUGCGGUG